rnacentral:tRNA from 1 species
AGUUAACGUAGCAAAGCCUGGACUUGCUAAAGAUCUAAGCCCUUUCCACAGAGGUUCAAAUCCUCUCGUUAACU